rnacentral:rRNA from 1 species
UACGUAGGUCGCAAGCGUUGUCCGGAUUUAUUGGGCGUAAAGAGCUCGUAGGCGGCUUGUCGCGUCGACCGUGAAAACUCGCAGCUCAACUGCGAGCCUGCGGUCGAUACGGGCAGACUAGAGUUCGGUAGGGGAGACUGGAAUUCCUGGUGUAGCGGUGAAAUGCGCAGAUAUCAGGAGGAACACCGGUGGCGAAGGCGGGUCUCUGGGCCGAAACUGACGCUGAGGAGCGAAAGCGUGGGGAGCAAACAGG